ACCUGACUGACGAGUCCCAAAUAGGACGACAAGCGCGUCAACCUGGAU
rnacentral:hammerhead_ribozyme from 1 species